GUAUCCCAUCCACACUGGACGGGCUCGCUGUUGCUAUGGCAAUCGGCGAAUGACGUGUAGCUGUUGCAGUGAUAGCACUGAAGGGCUGUGACUGAUGCGAAAAAGAUCAUGAAAUGAAAUGUUUAGUACUUGAUAGAGUAUCAUAUUGGAUUUUUUUCGAGAUAUUGAUGGGGGUAGGGAGGAUGAAAAGAUGACCAAGAAAAGCAUAAAUUCACAAGUUUAUUAUUAUGGUACUAUGCGCAGUAUAUCUAGAAUCGUCGGAUGAGCCUUGGCAUUGCAGGAAUAUAAUUGCUGGUGAGGGGCUUUGUGAAAUAUAAUCUAUUAAUUGGGCGCCCCUCUCAGGUGAUGGCAGGUUACACAGCAGUAAUAGAAAAAUGCAGAUCUUGUGUCAUAAGGAAACCAUGUGUUUGAGACUUGCAUCUUCAAGGAAUCGUCAAGAAAACACCGAGAUCAUAUUAUUGCUAUACCUAUAGCUAUUCUAUCCGAUCAGUCAUUCAAUAUUCGCUCUUACAAAGGAGACCUCUGGCACAGGGCAAAGAUGUUAACAGAAAAUAGAAAAAUUGCUAUGCUACUUGGAAGAAUAUCAAAGAAACGAGGCACAGUUGAGUAAACAGUGUAACUGUAGCUGUCAAGCCUUCUCUGAGGUCGUUUUUUUUAUCGACUACAAAAAACUAGCGUCACGCAAGUUUUGUCAACGGACCUAAAUACACGGAACAGGUUUUCAUGUUAUCCAUAGUUCCUUUCAUCACGAUUCUGUGUGCUCCAGAUCUCGUGAGCGUGAAGCUCUAAGUCAUAGGUGUUCACAUUAAUUAGGUAAACUGUUUAAAGUUGCUCUACGCAAAGGUUUUUUCGACUCACCUGUUUUUAGAAAAAAGCACAGAAAUACACAGAUCGACGCCAGGGAAAUCCAACUCUUCAUGAUGUUUCAAUUUUGAUCACGCUUUUAGCUCUAUCAUUCCGUUAAUGACGCACAGAAGAAUCAGCAAAAACAAAGGUUCAAUACCUGUUAUUUUCAAACACAGGACUUAUUUGACCUUCUCACAGCAAGAGGGAAGCGAGGAAGCAGAUAAGGGGGAGGGGCGGGGAAAAUUGGAAUAGCAAUGACGAAGUGAUGUCGUACAACAGGUCUAAAUCAACAUGGCAAAAAUGUUUCAUGAACAAUGUAUAUUUCAAUUAUCAAUAUUAAAAUAACUACAUUAUAUCAUUCAA